CGAAAGCCUGACGGAGCAAGACCGCGUGAGGGAGGAAGGCUCUUGGGUUGUAAACCUCUUUUCUCAGGGAAGAAGCUCUGACGGUACCUGAGGAAUCAGCCUCGGCUAACUCCGUGCCAGCAGCCGCGGUAAGACGGAGGAUGCAAGCGUUAUCCGGAAUUAUUGGGCGUAAAGCGUCCGUAGGCGGUUUAGAAAGUCUGAUGUUAAAGCCCACAGCUCAACUGUGGAUGGGCAUUGGAAACUUCUAGACUAGAGAGUGGUAGGGGUAGAGGGAAUUCCUAGUGUAGCGGUGAAAUGCGUAGAUAUUAGGAAGAACACCAGUGGCGAAGGCGCUCUACUGGGCCAUUACUGACGCUGAUGGACGAAAGCUAGGGGAGCG
rnacentral:rRNA from 1 species